CCUACGGGUGGCAGCAGUGAGGAAUAUUGGUCAAUGGACGAGAGUCUGAACCAGCCAAGUAGCGUGAAGGAUGACUGCCCUAUGGGUUGUAAACUUCUUUUAUAAGGAAUAAAACGAGGCACGUGUGCCUUUUUGCAUGUACUUUAUGAAUAAGGAUCGGCUAACUCCGUGCAAGCAGCCGCGGUAAUACGGAGGAUCCGAGCGUUAUCCGGAUUUAUUGGGUUUUAAGGGGGCGUAGAUGGGUUGUUAAGUCAGUUGUGAAAGUGUGCGGCUCAACCGUAAAAUUGCAAUUGAUACUGGCAGUCUUGAGUACAGUUGAGGUAGGCGGAAUUCGUGGUGUAGCGGUGAAAUGCUUAGAUAUCACGAAGAACCCCGAUUGCGAAGGCAGCUUACUAAACUGUGACUGACAUUGAUGCUCGAAAGUGUGGGUAUCAAACAGGAUUAGAUACCCCAGUAGUC
rnacentral:rRNA from 1 species